AGUGGGCCAGAGGCUCUCCACUUGAGAAGGGAGGUGAGCUCUUCCCAAGGGGUGGGGGGAUGGUAGCCCAUUGACCAGCCCUUUCUGCCUCCCUUUAAUACCUGGGCCCCCUCUAGUCCAAAGGCCAUCCAUUUGCUUGAGGUAGGGAGAUUAAAAUUCGUCCCCAAUUUGGUCUUCUGAAUCAACACACUGAUCCUAAUGUGAGUGAAAAAAAAAAAUGUUAGAGAAAUGGUUUCAUCCUAAGGUCAGAGAGGGUUGGUUGAAGUGUGCAUGGCUGGACAUGUUCCUUGGGUAGGGCUGAUGCUUCACAGUUUGUCUGGGGAGAACUGGGGUGUGCCAGGACAUAUAAUUGCAGAUGGGGGGACUCACCUACAUGAAGAGGUUGGCUUCUGUGUUUAAGGUAAAUAGAGAAGACUGUGGGUCACUCCAGAGGUCUGGAAGCAGGCAGGGAGGACCUCAACAGUGAAAAAGUGCAGAAGCCCAAUCCUUAAUUGGUCUCCAUGCUUUUAAGAGUCCUGGUGAGGUUCCUUCUUCUAAGGAAUCAUGCAAACUGCUCUGGGCUAGCUCAGCUUUGAUUUGCGAGGGAAGCAGAGGCAUGGAAUUGUCUUGGGGCUUUUUUCUUGAGGCUCAAGGUCUUCCAUCCUUUCUUAGGUUACAGAAAAUGAGAGUUUUUGCCAGACAUGAGAAAACUAGAGAAAGGGUGCCACCUGUGCUUUCUACCCCAAACCAAAGAUGAAGGGGCUCAGACAAGAGUGCCUGACUCCAGGGGUGAACAGCUGCCUGCAUUCAGCUUUGUCUGCAGAAUGGUAGAAAAGAAACAAAACUGGAGACAUUUAUAUGUAGAGGUAUACAAAGUCAGCAGCACAGUCAAAAAGAUUCUAUAGCAUCUCAACAUUCCAAACAUUUUUUUAGCAUGGAUGAUCGUUUCUUCCAUUCUUUAUCAAAAGCCUGAUUUCUUCAUGUUACAAAUGUUUCCAAACUGAGUAUCAAAGUCAUUUAUCUGGCUUAGUUUUUAUAGAGCUUGUGGGACAGAAGUAGGUCUCAAACUUUAAAUCUUCUGACCCCAGAACUGAAGUUCCCUUCACACCACAUCCCCGCACUCAGGCAUUACAGUGAUGGCUGGCUGCCACAGCAGGAAAGAGGGCAAAACGUGAGGCUAAGAAGGCAGCCCAGAGCUAGGAAAGACAAUGUCCAUGCAAGUGGGAGGAGAGUCAGGCCUGGGAGAGGCAGACAAAGGGCACCGGACCAUGGAGAGUUGAGAGGAGGCUGAAGAGAGGAGCUCUGCCAGAAUUCUCCAUGGACAGGAGGCUCUCUCAGCUCUCCAGUGCCAAUCUAGCUGGGACAGGCAUCAGAGAUUAUUGUCCAUUGUGACCUGAGCAGGAAAGAUGGAGUAAGAGGGAUUUAGGAAGGGAUAAGUAGGAAAGAGUGGGGUGUGGCAGAAUCAGAAGAGUCUGGUUGCGGGGACACAGCUGUCCAGGUCCAGGCUAUGGGCCCGCCUACUCACUGUCCGUGGAGCAACAUGCUGGGUAGGGCUCUACCUGGAGUGACCCUCUACCUAGUGAAACCAGGAGGCAAGUAGGGACCAACUCGGAGUCAUGGUCAUUUUUAAGAUUUGUAUUUGUCCUAUCUGCUUUGAGGCUCCAGUUCCUUCCUGUAUGAAGGCAAAGACUUCCAUCCCUCAUGUAAGAAUAGAGGCACACUGGGAAAUCUUGAGGCCUGGUGAAGGAAGAAAGGACUGGCUUCUCCAUGAAUACUGGAGGUCUCAUGGCACAGUCCCACUCAUUAGAUCCACUUGUCUCUUCCAGGGAAUGACUUGGAGACUAAAUGGGUGGAGAAUGGCUGAGGGUAAUGAGCCCCAGCCCUUCUAGAUUGUUCCAGAGUGUUAAUCGUAUUGUUAACCAGUCAUAUCAAGUCUCCUUGGGAGGAAGGGUGUUGUACAGAAGGGUGGGACUCUUUCAGAAAAUACCAUGGUAUCUAGAUUGGCCUUGAACCAGCUAGAGAAGGGAGAAAUAAUGAGCACAGGACUCAGGAUUCUUUCCCCUUUUGGUUGUGAUGCAGCAUGAACAGGAAAGCUCUCAGCGGAAUAGAAAGGACUAUUCAAACAGGGAAAAGGAAACUCAUGUUAUUUACCAAAUACUGUAGUAAGCAUCCCAUAUUUCUCAUGUGUGUUAUUCCUCAUGAGCCUCACCCAUCCUUCUGACAUAGGGGUUGGAUCAUUCAUUUUACAGCUGAGAAAACUGAGACAUGCAGAAAUUAAGCAGCCUGCUGAAAGUCAUACAACUAGUUAGGGGAAGAGCUGGAUAACUGCUUAAUAACUAGAGUUACUCCUAAGUUACCUAAGGAACAGCAAGGGGCAUUAGAAUUUCAGUGAAUUUUCUGGAAGGAAUCGUACAUGUGAGCAAUGAGGUUAAAAAAGUGAGCCUAAGAUUAAAAAGUAGAAGCCAUGAAGAUAUGCACUGGGCAAAUAAUAUUGACUUCUCUGUGCCUGUCCUAGUGCCUCAUAUGGUAAGAAAUAAAAGGUUGCUCUUAAGGUCCUUAAAAUUUGUCAUCUCAAACUAAGCACUAAAUAAUUCCCAGAUUACUGCUGCCUUUUCUAAAAUGUAGCGGUUGGAUGGAGAGAGGAGGAGUAAGGUGGCAGGCCCUAACUACAACUGCACAGAAUAGGUGGCUCUCUCCCCAAGGAAGGCAAGGGCACCCCAUGUCCAUUCCUUCAAGUGCUGAGUAUUUUUCCUGGUUUCAAUAUCCUCAAAUGUAAAAUGGUUCUGGUAUCUACCUCAAAAGAGUAUUGUGUUUGUAAAUUAAAUAGCCCUAUACAGUUAUACAAAUAACAAAUAACCUGUAGGAUUUGAGAAGUCACCAACUCAUGAUGAUUAAUGUAAUGGAUCACCGAUAAAACUAUUAAAAUUACAAGACAUUAAUGGUCAUUACACGGAUAUUAGGUCUGGAGUCUCAGAGCUGGAAAAUACCAGAAAUCUCCAAAUAAGCCUUCCUCAGCUCAUCAAUAUCCCUGCCAGGUGGUGUUAUUCUGAUUACAAAUUAUUCCUUAGUUUUAAUUCAUAAAUCCUCUAAGGAAGAGAAAACAUGAUAUUCUCAUGCCUUGUGCUUCAAGGAGCUCAGUACUUGAUUGUGGCUCCAGGUUUGUACAUAUUCCACCGUUCCUACUCCUUAAAAGACCCCACAGGCAUAAGAGAAAACUGCCAGUAUCUGCUGUGGUCACUACUGAAGUAGAAACAGCCAACCAGGGUCCUUGCUGGGAAAUAUUCGGGAAAUCAUAGGUGUACGUUGUUCUCUUGCCAAAUCAAGUCGGGUCUCCAUGACACAGAGUGGAAGGAAAAAGGGGAAGGGCCACAGGGACACUGGCCAACUGUGAGGCCCCAGUAAAUGAACGUUGCAUCCUGCUAUGAAUUUCACUACCAGUUGUGCAGUCCAGGACAGUUGGCUACCACCUGCCAGACGCACAGCAUAUGCCAAUGAUGGGGCACUCUCUUCACAUUCUAAGCAGGAUACCAGGACACCACCACCCUGCCACUAGUAAUUUGUUCCCUAAUAAGUCUCCAUUUACCUUCAUUCAAGGACUGGAAGACCAAAGUUAUAAAAAUAGUAACCAGUAAAAUUCCAGGACCUCAAUACUAAUCACUAUUUACUCCCAUCCACAUCCUCCCAUUUGACCUGACAUUCAGGUGGAUAUAUUUGUUCCUUUAGUUCUUGCCCUAAUACAAGGUAAAUGCUCAGAGUAAACUGCCAGGUAUCCACUAAACCAACCAGUAUCAGGUCCCUGCCUAAGACAAUGAGGGCAUCCUUCAAAGGGGGAGGUGGGAGGGCCAAGGACAUCCCUUAUAACAGCCCUCCCCAUUGUCCAUCUCCCUCUAGCACAAACAUCAAUUGAGCUGGUUUGGGGGAAAGAAUAAAAUAUCAAAGUCUUCUGAAUCAGCACACCAUUCAGCCCAAACAAAAAAGAAUGACAUAGAGCCUUUAUUAAACUGGUUCUGAGGUAUGUGGGACUAGCCUGGCUGGUUGACCAGGCUUCUUGAGCCCCACAGGCAACAAGACCAUGUACAAAAGGGGGAUAAUAUACCCAUGUGGGAAGCCAAGUUUCCAUGUUGAUGGUAAAUGGAAAAACUUUGAGUCAGAGCUGAGCUCUGGGACAAAAAGGGAAAAGAGGAGGGAUGAAGGGAAGGGGCUCAGUUCUUCUUGACUGAUUCUAAAGCUCAUAGUGGGAUUCCAUCUCACAGCUAGCCCUCUAUACUAAGGAACCAUACGAAUCUUGAACCCCCAGGGAACCUAGACCUGGGAAGGCUGAACUUGCUAUUUGAGGGUCAAGUCUACUCCCUGGAGGUAGAGUACUGGAUAUUUUGAUGGGGACAAGGAGGGUGCAAGUGUAGAGAACCAACGUCUCAAGUCCUACUGACUGAUACUAGUCCAAAUAGAUCAAGCUCAGCAAAGGCUGGUAAGCCUGGGUAAGGUUCCACAGGGAUGGAUCUUCCUAAGGGCGGGGGGAGCGGGAGGCGCUUUCCAGUUCCUAGAAAAUGGCGGUGCGUGCAGACUGCCUCCCUCCUCUUCAUUGUAGCUUGAUCCUGGGCAGUGACCGUUCACAGAAAGAGUCAGGCCUGGGAGGGGCCAGUCCGGGGCACAAAUGCUGGAGGUUUCAUAGAUGGGCUGGCACUGGAGAAGGCAGGUCUGUCAGUGACGCACUUGUCCUGUGGGUCCUGGGCUCUUUCAUGGCACGCAGGGCACUCUCCUUCCUGGGAUGGGAGAAUGGAAUUCUUCUUCCAUGAGAGAGAAAAUACGGAGGUGAAGAAGAGCAGAAUGGGCAAGUACCAGACUGCAGCUGCAGCCAAGCCAGGGAAGAGGCUCACGAAGGUCCUCGGCGGCUCCCGCAGGACAUUCCCUCCCCAGCUGGUUGGGAAGCUCCACACCUAGGCGAGGACGGGCAGCAGCAGCCCGGGGCAGGCUUCCGUGGAAACUUCCAAAACCACCUUGCCAGGUAAGUGAAAGUGCGCUCCGUUCUCUAUCCACAUCCUGGGCCAAGGAGGUUCUUCUUCAUUCUUUCAGCAGUUCUGAUCUUCUUGGGGAGCACCCCUAAAUCAGCCUGUCAAGGAGGAAGUCAGGCUACAGGCAUCUUGCAGGAACAGAUAAAGGCCAUGAAAUAACUGCCAACUGUCUUCUGCUCGGGCAGUUAUACCGUUAGCCACUCCCAUUACCCCACCUUCCCGGCAGGCCUCCUCCAAUCAGAGGCCGUGCCCCACCCAGGGAGGAGCCUUGGGCUUUCCUGAAAGUUCCACAGCCUCUGAUUGGUCCCAGACCAGCCUUCCUGGGCAGGGGUGGGGGCAGGGAACUCCUAGAGUCCAUGCAGUAUGCAGAGGGCGGGCUUGGUGGAAAGUCGUUGAUGAUGAGCACUGCCUGUUGGGGCUAUGGGAGACGAGGCCUUCCAGAAUUUAGGUUGGCCAUGUCCUGGCUUCUGAGGGGGACAGGCCCGACAGAGUUUGGGCUAUGCUGGUACUGUCUCCUGCUCUCUGUUUACCAGGUUAUUGAACCCUGGGUGCCUGUGACCUUGGAGUCUUUAUUUUACCCCAGUGGAAAGUACCACCCAGAAGGCACUUGUUUUGAGGCCUCGCAAGAGUUAAGAGUAAGACUGCAAAUAGACCCCCCCCAGUGCCAUCCUCUUACCUUUUCCCACCAACCAAAGGCCUGGCACUAGAGAGAAAUGCUUGAACAGACUCAGCUCCUAGGGACCCGGAGUCCUAACUGGAGGGUUUGCUAAAACCGGCUUAUCUGCAGCGCC